rnacentral:rRNA from 1 species
CCUACGGGAGGCAGCAGUGAGGAAUAUUGGUCAAUGGACGAGAGUCUGAACCAGCCAAGUAGCGUGAAGGAUGACUGCCCUAUGGGUUGUAAACUUCUUUUAUAAAGGAAUAAAACGAGGCACGUGUGCCUUUUUGCAUGUACUUUAUGAAUAAGGAUCGGCUAACUCCGUGCCAGCAGCCGCGGUAAUACGGAGGAUCCGAGCGUUAUCCGGAUUUAUUGGGUUUAAAGGGAGCGUAGAUGGGUUGUUAAGUCAGUUGUGAAAGUUUGCGGCUCAACCGUAAAAUUGCAAUUGAUACUGGCAGUCGUGAGUACAGUUGAGGUAAGCGGAAUUCGUGGUGUAGCGGUGAAAUGCUUAUAUCACGAAGAACCCCGAUUGCGAAGGCAGCUUACUAAACUGUGACUGACAUUGAUGCUCGAAAGUGUGGGUAUCAAACAGGAUUAGAUACCCGUGUAGUC